UUUUGGCCAAGACCUACUACUUCCGUCAGUCCGGGGUCCCACUGCCUGGAGGGUGGAUGCAUUAUUUCCGUGGCCCUGGGGCUGUAGAGCUGUUAGGAGCAGCGUGACCUUGGGGCAUGUGGGGAUACAGUUCUUGUUGCAUUGAGAAGCGCUGAGCUGCCUGCCUGGGGCCGAGAGCAAAGCAGAAAAAUCUGUCUUAUCAUGUACGGAUAUGAUUGUCUAACUGAGCCAAGAAGAAGAGCCAGAAAUCAUCAGUGCCAUAGGGAAAGGGCAGCAAUCAUUUUGUCCUGAAAGCAUCAUGCUCUGAUGCUUCAUUGUAGCCUAGGGUUGAUCGAGACCUCUCAAAGACGUUUGCAUCAAAGCACAAAAUCUGUCAGGUCCUAUCAAGUUCAAAGAGAUUCAAGCCCAGACCCAGGGACAGACUGAAUGUUUGUCAUCCAAGGACCACCCAAGCUAAGUCAUCAUGAACUUGGUACAAUAUGAUGACUUUAAAAAAAAAAAAUCUUACCACCUUUGAAAGCCUGUCUACUGUGUUGAACAGAUCAUGGGAUCAUAGAUGUAGAGAUAGAAAGAAUCUCAGAGAUGAUUUAGUCCACUCCUCCCAUUUUACAGAGGAGAAACCAAGACCCAUGGAGAAAGGGUGUAAUCUGAGUGAAUAGAGAGAGAAUCCACAACCAUUCUGUCAAUAGUUCUGCCAUCAUGCUACAAAUCUAAGUGCAAGAUCAAGUUUUCUUCGUUUUUAUAAACCCCCAAAUGGUGUCUUUCACAAUCAAUGGAUAUUUAUUUACUUAUUUAUUUGUUAGGUGAAUGGUCAGAUACAAUAUCUAAUUUUAAUGGGAAUGAGCACU